rnacentral:lncRNA from 1 species
GUUCAUUUAAAUGGGCAUUGCAUCCAAUUAGUAUUACAGGCCAUUAAACAAUUUAUGGAAACAAUUUUCGCCCCGCCUCCACAAAAUACAAAAAUCGAUGGCAUCCAAAAUGCUAAAGACACAAGAAAAAACAGGUAAACAAAAUGUAAGUUUGGCAAAAAUCAAUAGGUAGGUACCAGGUAUCAAAAUAGUGUCUGGACUCACAAUAUUCGUCCUCGAUUAAUUUAUAUUUAUAAUUGGAGUCGCUAUUAUAGCCUCUGUACACUGACAUAAGUUACGUAUCGAUAGUUGAGCAACUCAAUAACUCGAAGGAAAUGAUGGAUUCGAAGAAAAUAGCCUCAGCCCUCUAUUGUUACAUUUCGGCCUACUUCUUAUUAAUAGUUAUGAAUGAAUAAAAAGCAUAAGCAAGUUGAAUUAUGUAAAUGUAGGUGCAGAUUUUCCUUAAAGAAUGUGGGAGCUUGUUGUUGUAAAAUUCCUCCCAUCCCAAGAAAAAUCUUGUACCUAGAAAUAAAUCGUGUUAAAGACAGAAUCAUAUUCUCUCAUUUUGCCUUAAAAAAAUGUGUUUAUUUAUCCUACUCUAAGUAGGAGUCAAAGUAGGCUGUUUGACAAAAUAUAUUUACGUAUGUUUUUCGCGUUUGAUUUGAGCCCUUUGUUUUUCAGUUUCAAACAGAGCGUCGAAGUGCUAACAUCUAAAUUGUGUAAUUUUACACCAAACAAAAUCCCCAAAAGUAAAACUUUAAAUUAUUUAAAUUGAAGUAAAAAAGUGAAAGAUUUUGAAACAAAAAUUCCAAGCAACAAAUUAAUUUCGAAACUAUUUUACUUGUUCUCUUGGUUUUCCAAAAUUAGGAAAAGAAAAUUAAAAUGUACAGAACAGAGGCACAAAAACAAAUGAAGCAUUGCUAUGCUAGUAGAUUGCUUUACAAACCAGUGGUCCCGAAGCAAAAGCCACAUUUCCAACUAGAUGCAUAUACAAAUGAUAACAGUGACCAUAAGCCUGUGUUCGGAAAUAAAACAACAAGCUGGAUUUGGCUGUAGAUUUGGAACUGGAUUUGGUACCUUGAGUCGAGGUAUUCGUGUUGGACGCCAAACACUCGGAGCCGUACUUCGAAGAAAUAAACACUAAUGCCGUGCAGCUUCGGGCUUCAUCUCCGCGGUAUGUUCUAGGGCGCUGACCACUCGCAUAUGCACCUCGCCGGACCGGCCUUGUUCUUGAGAAGAGCCUGGUGGUGGCCUGGCGCAUGGCAUUCACAGAUCGUUGCUCGCUGUGCUUUCUGGCAAGUACAGCGAUCUCUAUGCUCAAAACCUCACCUCACAGCAUUUACGCUUACUACCACCAAUCGAUGCUUAAUGAUAGUUUUCCCCCGUUACUAUCGUUUAGACUUCGGAGGUGUUCCAGGCGGACUUCGAUCCUGGGCUAUUGUUGCGACAGGAGGCUACCAAAACAGGUGUGUACUUCUCCUCCAAAGUGGUAUCCUCUUGGCUUCUUCCUCCACACAACUCCAGAAAUUUACCCAGAAAUUGUAUUUUCCUUUCUUAGCGUUCCUAUGCAUUACGCACCGACCCUCUCGCCACCCGCGCAUGCACUGCAGUCGAACUGUUUCCUCUGGCUGGGCUUCAUCUCAACCAGCAGCUAUGUCUGAAAUUGAACAUCACCUCAAAACGGACGAAGAAACAAUUAAAUGGCAAGCGCCGUCCACCAGCGUCUACAUCGAGCGGUGCGUGAACGACUUUCUCAAGAAGAACGAGGACGGUGUCAGCUCCUUGGAAAAUAUCGUGGAGGUCCCAACCGGGCGUUGGUUGUAGGAUGAUGACGGCAUUGAUGUCUGGAGUAUGGCUCUACUUCCGACCGCCAAAUCCAGCUUGUUUUUUUAUUUCCGAUCAGGGCUACGGUCACUGUUAUCAUUUGUAUAUGCAUCUAGUUGGAAAUGUGGCUUUUGCUUCGGGACCACUGGUUUGUAAACCAAUCUACUAGCAUAGCAAUGCUUCUUAAGUACCUCAAUUGUUUUGAGGUCUUCUUUUUAAAAGCCUGUUAGUUUUUAUAAGCAAUAAAUUGUGCAGAGAUCG